rnacentral:rRNA from 1 species
AUUGAACGCUGGCGGCAUGCUUUACACAUGCAAGUCGAACGGCAGCGCGGGCUUCGGCCUGGCGGCGAGUGGCGAACGGGCGAGUAAUGCAUCGGAACGUGCCCAGUCGUGGGGGAUAGCCCGGCGAAAGCCGGGUUAAUACCGCAUACGACCUGAGGGUGAAAGCGGGGGACCGAAAGGCCUCGCGCUAUUGGAGCGGCCGAUGUCGGAUUAGCUAGUUGGUGGGGUAAAGGCUUACCAAGGCGACGAUCCGUAGCUGGUCUGAGAGGACGACCAGCCACACUGGGACUGAGACACGGCCCAGACUCCUACGGGAGGCAGCAGUGGGGAAUUUUGGACAAUGGGGGCAACCCUGAUCCAGCCAUGCCGCGUGCGGGAAGAAGGCCUUCGGGUUGUAAACCGCUUUUGUUCGGGAAGAAAUCCUCUGGGCUAAUACCCCGGGGGGAUGACGGUACCGGAAGAAUAAGCACCGGCUAACUACGUG